rnacentral:rRNA from 1 species
UACGUAGGGGGCAAGCGUUGUCCGGAUUUAUUGGGCGUAAAGAGCGUGUAGGCGGCCAAAUAGGUCGGUUGUGAAAACUGGAGGCUUAACCUCCAGACGUCGACCGAAACCAUCUGGCUAGAGUCCGGAAGAGGAGAGUGGAAUUCCUGGUGUAGCGGUGAAAUGCGCAGAUAUCAGGAAGAACACCCGUGGCGAAGGCGGCUCUCUGGGGACGGUACUGACGCUGAGACGCGAAAGCGUGGGGAGCGAACAGG